UACGAAGGGGGCUAGCGUUGCUCGGAAUCACUGGGCGUAAAGGGUGCGUAGGCGGGUCUUUAAGUCAGGGGUGAAAUCCUGGAGCUCAACUCCAGAACUGCCUUUGAUACUGAGUAGCUUGAGUCCGGGAGAGGUGAGUGGAACUGCGAGUGUAGAGGUGAAAUUCGUAGAUAUUCGCAAGAACACCAGUGGCGAAGGCGGCUCACUGGCCCGGUACUGACGCUGAGGUGCGAAAGCGUGGGGAGCAAACAGG
rnacentral:rRNA from 1 species